rnacentral:rRNA from 1 species
CUACGGAGGGUGCAAGCGUUAUUCGGAAUCACUGGGCGUAAAGCGCGCGCAGGCGGCUAUUUAAGUUGGAUGUGAAAGCCUACGGCUCAACCGUAGAACUGCAUCCAAAACUAUUUAGCUAGAGUGUGGGAGAGGAAGAUGGAAUUAGUUGUGUAGGGGUAAAAUCCGUAGAGAUAACUAGGAAUACCAAAAGCGAAGGCAAUCUUCUGGAACACUACUGACGCUGAGGCGCGAAAGCGUGGGGAGCAAACAGGAUUAGAUACCCUAGUAGUCC